CUUAUUCUUUCUCUUUCUUUCUCGUUAUAUCUUCUUUCUUCUUCUCUCUUCUUUCUUCCCCUGUUCUUUCUCUUCUGCGUGCGUGUGAUAGAUCAAGUGGAGGUUUUGUGAUCGGUAGGAGGUGGAGAAGAUUAUGGAGUAGUUGGUGGUGGUGGUGGUGUUGCUUUUUGAGUUUAGGAGGAAGUUGAAUCGAGAAAUCAAUGAAUUAAGUUUUUCUGGAUUUGAGUUUGGGCAUGUGUAGAACAAUUGAUGAUGAUGAGAUUAAGAUCGAGAGAUGUAAAAUAGAGUUACAGGUAGAUGAAGAAGCAAUGGUUUGAGGUUUAAUUACAGUUAUAAAGAAGAUUUGGGAGAUUAAAUUAGGGUUCGUACUGGUUCUGAAUUGAAUGUUUAAUCGAGUGUUUAAUGGCUAAAGAACGAAGGGUUGUUGUUUACCUGAAGUUAUGAGGUUGAAUUUAUAAAUAAUCGAAAGGUUAGGGUUUAGUAUAAUUUAUAGUGAGGAUUGAAGAAUGAAAUUGGAAGUCUAGAAGAUAUAUUUGAGAUGGGUUUUAACAGUUUGAGUGAAUUUGGGUUAGAGAUUUAGGGCUUUCCAUUAGGACAAAGAAGGACCUGAUUCAACUGAUGGAAGGUACUAUCUGGGUUGAACUGAUUUGAGUGGAUGUUGGUGGUUGAAGUUGAUUGUGUAUGAUGGUAAUAAUACUGAAUGUAGUGGUGGUAUUGUAAUGGUGAUGCAUAUGGUAUGGGCUGAAUGUUGUCUAGGACUAGAUAUACAAGAGGUGAUAUCUUGAGAACUUGUGAAUGGUGGCAAUUGAGUGUUGUGCUGAAAUACAGGAGAAUGGAUAUAUGCUAGAUGGUGUAUGUCAUCAGAACUACAGGUAGUAUUGCUUGGUUGUUCGGAUAUUGAAGUUCUGGAAUGUAAGAUUGAAAUUGUUUGUUGUGUAUGAAUUGAAGAUAGCCAUAUCUUGAGUUACAGAAAAUUGGGUUGGGAUGGUGGUUGUCUGUGUGUUAAGAUUGAGGUAGAAGUAAAUAUACUGGUGGGUUGGUAUUGUUUUUGGUAGUGUUACUAAACUUACAUAUAAUUUGGAAUGAUGGUUGGCGAACAUUUGAGUAUAGUCUGAAUGCUGAUAUGGUGUUAAUAUUGAACUGUUGGUGUUUGUACAGAGAACGUGUUAUGUAAAGAAGCUGGGAUAUGGUAUUAGGGUUACAAGUCUUUAGAUAGUGUUGUCUGUUGAGAUGAGUUAGGAUGUUGCAGAGUGGUACAUCUGGUAUGAUUGUAGAAAGAUGUUGCUUAGAGAUCAGCUACAGGUAAACUGUAUUGUUGUUGUAAAUUACUUUUGAAUUCUCAAUUAAAAUGUAUGAGUUAUUUGUGUAAUGAUCAAAUGAUUAGAAUCAGGUUGAUUA